rnacentral:piRNA from 1 species
UCUUUCACACUGUGCCUGCAUCAGGCCCAUC